rnacentral:misc_RNA from 1 species
CGACCCCAGAUCAGGCGGGACUACCCGCUGAGUUUAAGCAUAUCAAUAAGCGGAGGACC